UACGGAGGGUGCGAGCGUUAAUCGGAAUUACUGGGCGUAAAGCGUGCGCAGGCGGUUCGGAAAGAAAGAUGUGAAAUCCCAGGGCUUAACCUUGGAACUGCAUUUUUAACUACCGAGCUAGAGUAUGUCAGAGGGGGGUGGAAUUCCGCGUGUAGCAGUGAAAUGCGUAGAUAUGCGGAGGAACACCGAUGGCGAAGGCAGCCCCCUGGGAUAAUACUGACGCUCAUGCACGAAGGCGUGGGGAGCAAACAGG
rnacentral:rRNA from 1 species